UACGUAGGGUGCGAGCGUUGUCCGGAAUUAUUGGGCGUAAAGGGCUCGUAGGCGGUUUGUCGCGCCGGGAGUGAAAACUCAGGGCUUAACCCUGAGCCUGCUUCCGAUACGGGCAGACUAGAGGUAUGCAGGGGAGAACGGAAUUCCUGGUGUAGCGGUGAAAUGCGCAGAUAUCAGGAGGAACACCGGUGGCGAAGGCGGUUCUCUGGGCAUUACCUGACGCUGAGGAGCGAAAGUGUGGGGAGCGAACAGG
rnacentral:rRNA from 1 species